GUUACAUUUGUACAUAAUAUAAGUAAACAUUGUAAGUCAAGAAAGCCUGUAAAAUGGGAAUCAUUUUACGUAUUAUUAAGUUCAUUAACGAAAAACAUAUCGAAACUUUUUUAAAGAAUCACCAAAUGUUGGCUCAGUGACAAUAAUCCUGUUUACUCCCCCAUGGAUGGAUAUACACCAUUCCGUCGUCGUUUAGGGAGUGAGUUAGUAUGAUGGCUGUUUUGUUAUAUUUUUUAUUUUUCCAAUCGUCCUCGAGUCAUGGCUAUGUGAUUAAACCGGGGCCCCUGUACCCCCCUACAGAGGGAUAUGUGUGGCCACAACCCCAAUAUGAAAAUAAGCAAAUGGAUUAUUUUACAUUUAAUCCAGCACAGUUUAAUGUAACAGUAACAAAUCACACUUGCGACAUCCUUAAAAAUGCCUUGGAGCGUUACUACAACAUCUGGAAGAAAAUGCACUCCACAGCUAAAGAAAACAAUAAGUGGGCCAAGCGAAAGAAAAGGCCCAAAGGCGACACGUACCAAGGCGAUGCCACGCAGCUGAGCGUGGUCCUG